UACAGAGGGGGCGAGCGUUGUUCGGAAUUACUGGGCGUAAAGGGCGCGUAGGCGGCCAACUAAGUCAGACGUGAAAUCCCUCGGCUCAACCGGGGAACUGCGUCUGAUACUGGAUGGCUUGAAUUCGGGAGAGGGAUGCGGAAUUCCAGGUGUAGCGGUGAAAUGCGUAGAUAUCGGGAGGAACACCGGUGGCGAAGGCGGUUCUCUGGGCCUGUACUGACGCUGAGGAGCGAAAGCGUGGGGAGCGAACAGG
rnacentral:rRNA from 1 species